GAGUGGCGAACGGGUGAGUAACACGUGGGAGACCUACCUUCGAAUGGGGGAUAACGUCCCGAAAGGGACGCUAAUACCGCAUAACAUCCUGCUUUUGAACAGGUGGAGAUCAAAGCCGGGGAUCGCAAGACCUGGCGUUUGAAGAGGGGCCCGCGUCUGAUUAGCUAGUUGGGGAGGUAACGGCCCACCAAGGCGACGAUCAGUAUCCGGCCUGAGAGGGCGGACGGACACACUGGGACUGAGACACGGCCCAGACUCCUACGGGAGGCAGCAGUGGGGAAUUGUUCGCAAUGGGCGCAAGCCUGACGACGCAGCGCCGCGUGGAGGAUGAAGGUCUUCGGAUUGUAAACUCCUGUUGCCCGGGACGAAAAGCUUCAACCUAAUACGUUGAAGUCUGACGGUACCGGGUGAGGAAGCCCCGGCUAACUCUGUGCCAGCAGCCGCGGUAAUACAGAGGGGGCAAGCGUUGUUCGGAAUUACUGGGCGUAAAGGGCGCGUAGGCGGCCCGCUAAGUCGAACGUGAAAUCCCCGGGCUCAACCCGGGAACUGCGUCCGAUACUGGCAGGCUUGAAUUCGGGAGAGGGAUGCGGAAUUCCAGGUGUAGCGGUGAAAUGCUUAGAUAUCUGGAGGA
rnacentral:rRNA from 1 species